GGCGGACGGGUUGAGUAACGCGUGGGAACGUGCCCUUCUCUAUGGAAUAGCCACUGGAAACGGUGAGUAAUACCAUAUACGCCCUUCGGGGGAAAGAUUUAUCGGAGAAGGAUCGGCCCGCGUUAGAUUAGGUAGUUGGUGGGGUAAUGGCCUACCAAGCCUACGAUCUAUAGCUGGUUUUAGAGGAUGAUCAGCCACACUGGGACUGAGACACGGCCCAGACUCCUACGGGAGGCAGCAGUGGGGAAUCUUAGACAAUGGGCGCAAGCCUGAUCUAGCCAUGCCGCGUGAGUGAUGAAGGCCUUAGGGUCGUAAAGCUCUUUCGCCAGAGAUGAUAAUGACAGUAUCUGGUAAAGAAACCCCGGCUAACUCCGUGCCAGCAGCCGCGGUAAUACGGAGGGGGUUAGCGUUGUUCGGAAUUACUGGGCGUAAAGCGCAC
rnacentral:rRNA from 1 species